rnacentral:rRNA from 1 species
AGAACGAACGUUAGCGGCGCGCCUAACACAUGCAAGUCGAACGAGAAAGGGCUUCGGCCCCGGUAAAGUGGCGCACGGGUGAGUAACACGUGGAUAAUCUUCCCUCGAGCAGGGGAUAACAUUCCGAAAGGAGUGCUAAUACCGCAUAAGACCACGGAGCCGAAAGGCACUGAGGUAAAAGCAGGCCUCUAUACAUAAGCUUGCACUUGAGGAUGAGUCCGCGGCCCAUCAGGUAGUUGGUUGGGGUAAUGGCCCACCAAGCCUAAGACGGGUAGCUGGUCUGAGAGGAUGAUCAGCCACACUGGAACUGAGACACGGUCCAGACUCCUACGGGGGGCAGCAGUGAGGAAUUUUCGUCAAUGGGGCAACCCUGAACGAGCAACGCCGCGUGCAGGAAGAAGGUUUCGGAUCGUAAACUGCUUUUCUCGGGGAAGAGAACGGACGGUACCCGAGGAAUCAGCCCCGGCUAACUCGUGCCAGCAGCCGCGGUAA